GCGCUGUGCGAGGAGAAGCCCAGCCCAGCACCCCUCUGACCAGCGUGGCCUUCACAGGGUGCUGCCGGGCACGUCUCCCUUCCCUCUCUGGCCAACAGGCAAGAAUCCAAGAUGACAUAUUCGACGGAAGCUUUCCUGCAGAGCUGUCAUCAGGAGUGAUCCAGCCCUUUUCCGGAGUGUCACAGUUUAUAAGUCAAUAAAGCGUCUGUGACUUUCCAAUCGCUUCUACUAGUGGUCACUGGUUUUUAUUCAUCAGUAUGUACCGGGCUGCCAUUCAGCUGGCCUUGGGGGGAGCGAGCGAGCGGCUGUGUGGGGCUGAGUUGCCGGCUGGGGUUAAACCAUGAAAACUUGCUACAUGCUUAAGUCUUGGUGGACAGAGGGAGAGUGAAAAGAGGAUCACGGCACAGGGCACGGCUGGUCUGGCUCAGGGCGUCUGCGCCUGGGUCCUGCCCCCACGCCACUGCCCAGCUCUCUCUGGACUUCAGCGAUGCUCCUGAAAAGGACUUUGCUAUCCCUAGAGAAAGUAUGAACAGAGGCACACAGGAACAGACGCUUUCUCAGAAUUCAAAAAUUCUUUAUGUAAAACAUGGCUCUGACAAUGCACAGCCUAAAUUUUGAAUGAGUUCUUAAACCACAGAAUAUCUCAUUUUCAGCUGGGUUUCAUGACUCUAUCAAAGAGGAAGUUAACUGUGAGAAGCAUAUGACCAUGAGACUAUACUUGGCUGGACUGACAUCAAAAGAAGUGACUUUUGGGCACACAUAGAUUUUUAAAAUCACUGCUUCAGUACGGUCACAUUUAGAUUUUUUCUUUUUUCAGUGUAGAGCAUAUAGUGAGCUAUUCUUGUGGACUGAACGACAUUCUAAGUCCCAUGAUGUAUGCAUGACACGGACUUGCCACUGCUGCUACAUUCCUUCAGUUCAACAGCCGUGUGAAAGCUGUAUCAUCCUGAGCUAAAAAAGGUCAAAAAAUAGCUUUAUCUCAAGAGAGAUAGCCUGAAAAUUAAUGCCUGGCCAUGCAAACUCAAAUCACAUGUGUGGGUAUUUAUAUGUAUAUGUAUAUAUAUAUGCAUACACACAAACAGAUAUAUAUACACAACAGCAUUGUAUUAUUCAAUACAGAUAUAUUUUAAUUUCAUUUUCUUAUAAUAAAAAAAAUAAAUAACACAA